rnacentral:rRNA from 1 species
UACAGAGGUGGCAAGCGUUGUUCGGAAUUACUGGGCGUAAAGGGCGCGUAGGCGGCCAUCUAAGUCAGACGUGAAAUCCCCCGGCUUAUCCUGGGAACUGCGUCUGAUACUGGAAGGCUUGAGUAUGGGUGAGGGAUGUAGAAUUCCAGGUGUAGCGGUGAAAUGCGUAGAUAUCUGGAGGAAUACCGGUGGCGAAGGCGGCAUCCUGGACCAUUACUGACGCUGAGGCGCGAAAGCUAGGGGAGCAAACGGG